rnacentral:rRNA from 1 species
UACAGGGGGAGCAAACGUUGUUCGGAAUCACUGGGCGUAAAGGGCGCGUAGGCGGCUUUGUAAGUCGGGGGUGAAAGCCUGUGGCUCAACCACAGAAUUGCCUUCGAUACUGCAUGGCUUGAGACCGGAAGAGGUAAGUGGAACUGCGAGUGUAGAGGUGAAAUUCGUAGAUAUUCGCAAGAACACCAGUGGCGAAGGCGGCUUACUGGUCCGGUUCUGACGCUGAGGCGCGAAAGCGUGGGGAGCAAACAGG